UGCAAGUCGAACGCAGUAGCAAUACUGAGUGGCAGACGGGUGAGUAUAAUGUGGGAAUCUGCCUUUUGGUUCGGAAUAACACGAGGAAACUUGUGCUAAUACCGGAUAAGCCUUCACAGGGAAAGUUUUAAUGCCAAAAGAUGAGCCCGCACUUGAUUAGCUAGUUGGUAAGGUAAUGGCUUACCAAGGCAACGAUCAAUAGCUGUUCUUAGAGGAAGAUCAGCCACAUUGGGACUGAGACACGGCCCAAACUCCUACGGGAGGCAGCAGUGGGGAAUCUUGCACAAUGGGGGCAACCCUGAUGCAGCGAUGCCGCGUGAGUGAAGAAGGCCUUUGGGUUGUAAAACUCUUUCGUCGGGGAAGAAAAUGACUGUACCCGAAUAAGAAGGUCCGGCUAACUUCGUGCCAGCAGCCGCGGUAAUACGAAGGGACCUAGCGUAGUUCGGAAUUACUGGGCUUAAAGAGUUCGUAGGUGGUUGAAAAAGUUAGUGGUGAAAUCCCAGAGCUUAACUCUGGAACUGCCAUUAAAACUUUUCAGCUAGAGUAUGAUAGAGGAAAGCAGAAUUUCUAGUGUAGAGGUGAAAUUCGUA
rnacentral:rRNA from 1 species